AGGCCGCGUCCCGGGAGGGUCCCCACCAUGGCCUGGACAGUGCUUCUGCUCGGGCUGCUGGCUUACGGCUCAGAGGUGGAUGCUCAGACUGUGGUCCAGGAGCCAGCACUGUCAGUGUCUCCAGGAGGGACGGUCACCCUGACCUGUGGCCUCAGUUCUGGGUCAGUCACUACCAGUAACUACCCCAGCUGGUUCCAGCAGACCCCAGGCCAGGCUCCCAGAACUGUUAUCUACAGCACAAACAGCCACCCCUCCAGAAUCCUUGCUUGCUUCUCUGGCUCCAUCUCUGGAAACAAAGCCGCUCUCACCAUCACCGGGGCCCAGCCUGAGGACGAGGCUGUCUAUUACUGUGGUCUGGGUAGUAGUAGUUACAAUGCCAUAGUGAUGCAACCUCAUGGGGAAGCACUACCAAAACCUGCCGUUUUGCUCAGAGGGCUCAGCGCUUUGAGGCGGGAGAGGCAGAGAGAGGGCGGAAAUGCUCAGCAGCCCGUGGGGAGGGGGCUCUGGGGUCCCAUCUCCUUCCAGCGUUUCAUGGCCCUGCGCCUGCUCCUGUCUCUCCUCUGA